rnacentral:rRNA from 1 species
CGUAGGUGGCAAGCGUUGUCCGGGAAUUAUUGGGCGUAAAGCGCGCGCAGGCGGUCUCUUAAGUCUGAUGUGAAAGCCCCGGCUCAACCGGGAGGGUCAUUGGAAACUGGGAGACUUGAGUACAGAAGAGAAGAGCGGAAUUCCACGUGUAGCGGUGAAAUAGCGUGGAGAUGUGGAGGAACACCAGUGGCGAAGGCGGCUCUUUGGUCUGUAACUGACGCUGAGGCGCGAAAGCGUGGGGAGCAAACAGGAUU